CACAUCCAGGGCCGGAAUUUGGGCCAUGGUUUGACAUGUGAUAAGAUCAGCAUCAUGCUUGUUGAAGUUUAGAUAACAAUGGGAAUCUGCCAGUAACAGCGGUGCCAGAGGGACCUGAGGAGAAGGUUAAGGAAGGGUGGCAAUAGGAGAGUUGAGGAAAGCUGUCAGUGAAUGAGUUGGUAAAAUCAAGCCAAUCGAGGGCUAGUGCACCGGGCUGUGAUGGCCCAAAUCUUGACUGUGACAGCUAGAAAUUGGUGCCAAAUCAAGUGAACUCUUCACUCAAUCUUCCCUGCGCCCUGCUGGUGUCAAUCCUUUUGAGACUGGUAAGAACUGACAGCACUGAAAUUAGCUUGAAUGCAGGGAUGGAGCUGGCAAGAACAACACACCGCAGAGCUCACGAUGCAGAGAGCUAAACGCAGACGCUGCUACUACAUCAGGAUGCAGUGAGACAAACCAUGAGUGGGUGGCAGCGCUCUCCUCUUGUCCUGCCCUGUUAGCAGGUGUUAGAACUCAGGGGAGAGAUGUUGUUGACUCAUUGUGGCAGGUGCAGCUUGUUAACUUCAGACCUGCCAGUGUCAGGCAGCUUGUGUGACAUGCACAUCUAUAAGGCCCCCUUGUGUACUCCCAGAGCCCAGACAGCUCCACACAUUCAUAUGGGCUUAGGGGGAGAAGCAAGUUGAUCCUCACAGCCAGUGAAAGCAGUCUGGCUGCCUCUCUCCCUGGCCAGUUCCCAGCGCACAGGGUGCAGCAGAGAGGGAAAGAGGAGGAGUCCAUGGAGGUCAGUGCCCCACAUGCAGGCUCAUUCUUGCCUGUGAUCUGAUCUUGCUUGGGACCUUUCUGAUAUUCUGACUCCAUUCUCCCAGCUCUGCUUCAGAGUCACAUUUGCUACCCUAGCUGAUGAACCACCAAGUAGCACAUAUACGCCAGAGUUCCUUUUUGUCUUGCUAACAGGCAGCAUUUCACCAGUAUCACCCAUCUGAACACACUGGAUCAGCUGAACCAAAGUUUUUUCCCUAGGCAUGAUGGACUUGCUGGAAUGAACAGAACUGGAAAUGGGGCAGGCUCCACUAUUAUCUUUUGGCCCAUCCUCCAUCUUUCCAAGUCUUGGACCUGAUUCUCCACUCACACUGUAGUAAGGCAGAAGUAACUACUGAAGUCAAUGGAGUUCCUGUAACCCAAACACCUCAGGUCCCUGUACACCACCUUCUCGGCUGAGGGAGGCUGAGAUUACCUUCACCUGCAGCACCAGACAAGAAGUGGAAGGUUGAAUCCUAUUUCAAUGUUUUUCAACCUCUGCCCUUCUUAACCCUUUGUUCUGAUCAACUCAUUCCAAGGAAGAUCUACAACAGAAGUAACAAGUAGAAAAUGCCAAGAGCUCCAUUCAAGUUCAGCAGCAGCAAUAAGCCAAUUCUGACAGUUAAAAUGCUUAGGGCACUACAGCCAGAUGUGACAAUGGAGUUAGCAGCUUUAGGGAGAGUGAUCUCUCUAUAACCAGGAAGUAAUGGACAGUUAGAAUGAUAAAAAUACCUCUACAUUCUGUGUAAAAUGUUUUUUGUAAGGGAAUGGGACAACCAAGGUAGAGAAACUCCGUAGUAGCUUCCCUACACAUUAGAAGUGCAGAUUUUUACUAUAAUCAAUUUGACCCCUAGACAAGUUGUGGUCUCACUCUGAGACCACACUUGCUAAGUGGUAUCAGUACAUGCAGCUGACAGGUACCAGUAUACAGUUCUACAUCUGGAGCUGAAGAGGCUAUGGAGAUAACAGGUCCCAACAUUCCAGACAUUCUCAAUGUGGUCACAAUCCAUGGAACCAACUAACAUCUCCAGCAUGUUAUCACAAUCUGUGGCUCACAGUGACUGUGUCCUAGAAAAGACAUCAUGCCUGAGGGCCAAUGUCCCCUAAAACAAGAGCUUCCAGCAUGUAAUGCUCCAUCUGGCCCUGACUCCAUGCUGCAUGGGGACAUAGGAUUUAUGGUGUAUUCAGGGUGAAGGCACUCAUUUUUCCCCUCGAAGUGAGGGGAAGUGACAGUUGGAGGAGAAGAGGGGAGACAGUUGAUGGACAGAGGCAGGCAUUGUGGAACUUGAGAGAGAGAAACUGAGAGUCUGUGAAUUAACUGAGAGAAACAGGGAGAGUGAGAGAGGGCAGCCAGAGGAACAGAGGGACAUCAAGAAUAAGUUGAGAGAUGGAGAUUGAGCAAGACAGACAGACAUGCAGAUGAGGGUCUGUUAGUUUAAAGUUGGCUAGUCAAGUCAGUCCAUGUUUGAUGGCAUGUUCUUGAGUAUCAGCAUGUUUGUUCCUGAGUAUUUGUUCUGGUCAUCUCCUAUCAUUGAUUCAUGUUGUCCCAGAGAUGCAGAAUAGGAGCACCAAAAGUACUGCAGUUCCAGCGGGUCUGGUCUAAUGUGCACUACCACAAGCAAGCUUCACUGGGGCUGAGUCCCUCUCCUUCAGGAAGUCAUGAGUGGUGCUUGUGGCUCAGAGAUUGGGUACUAUCUACUACUCAAGUCAGUGAGAUAUUUGGGGAAAAGGGAACUUUGAACUAGAUAUAAUAAACAACCCUAUAAUCGCCUGUGCUGAC